rnacentral:rRNA from 1 species
AGUGAACGCUGGCGGUAGGUCUAACACAUGCAAGUCGAACGGCAGCACAGUAAGAGCUUGCUCUUACGGGUGGCGAGUGGCGGACGGGUGAGGAAUACAUCGGAAUCUACUUUUUCGUGGGGGAUAACGUAGGGAAACUUACGCUAAUACCGCAUACGACCUACGGGUGAAAGCAGGGGAUCUUCGGACCUUGCGCGACUGAAUGAGCCGAUGUCGGAUUAGCUAGUUGGCGGGGUAAAGGCCCACCAAGGCGACGAUCCGUAGCUGGUCUGAGAGGAUGAUCAGCCACACUGGAACUGAGACACGGUCCAGACUCCUACGGGAGGCAGCAGUGGGGAAUAUUGGACAAUGGGCGCAAGCCUGAUCCAGCCAUACCGCGUGGGUGAAGAAGGCCUUCGGGUUGUAAAGCCCUUUUGUUGGGAAAGAAAAGCAGCAGGUUAAUACCCCGCUGUUCUGACGGUACCCAAAGAAUAAGCACCGGCUAACUUCGUG